rnacentral:lncRNA from 1 species
UGAAAACGCUGCCGAAAUCAUGCAUUAACGCAGGCUCGUUUGUAUACUCUGUAAACGAACGUAGAAUGCAAAUAAAACGUUUAUCACACUAUUAUAUCUUUCUCCAUAAUCUACUUAUAUACGAUAUCAAUGUAAUCUCGAUGGGAUGAGCUGAGGAUCUUCGAGCUGAUAUUAUACUUCGCACGUUUUAAAAAUAUUUAAAUGAAAUUUUCAUUCCUUCAUCAAAAAAUCUAAUUUCAAUCUAGUCGAAGUGUGAAAAAUUAUUAUGACAGUACUUGAAUAUAUUGUUUUUUCAUUAAUUUGCUUGUUUGUCCAUUUUACUUGUUUAUCUACUUACUUUUUUAUACUUUUAUACGGAAGAGACGAAAGUAGAGUGUAAGAGGAUAUUUGAAUCCCGUAAAGAUUUUUAUUUACAAAAGAGCAAACGAAAGAUAGAUACAUCAUUUCUUUUUUUUCUUUGCUAAAUAUUUAUUUUUCCAUUUUACCAAAAUAUACAAUCGAUUAAAUCCUUGUAGCAGAUCCUUAUUCUAAUUACUGAAUUUACUACAAAAAAAUAAUAUAAAAUAGAAGAAAAAAUAUAAAAUGAAUAACAGGCAACAGAUUUCAAUAGUCAUUUGUAAAUAAUGUAAACAAUGUGACAAUGUGACAAUGAAAAACGUAGUGACAGCGAUGUCCGAGCUUUUUAAACUUAUACUCUCUAACGAAUAAAGUACUCGAUAUUUAUACACGCCAAAGACACACAUACGCCUCUGACGCGUUAGCAAUUCAAAUAAGUCUUAUACAUUGGUCGUCGAUACGAAAAAAAGGAAAAGAACGAAGAAGAAAGAUAUUUCAACAAAGAAUGGAAUAUAAAUAAUGAUCAUGAGUCGUUCGUUCACGUCAUUUAAAAUAGAGUCUCAUUUAUAUUUCUCUCAGGGAAAGGAUAUUUCAUUAAAUAAAACCGAAUAGGAGAACGUGGAGCUUGAUUAGAAUUACUCUUUUUAAAUUAAUCGAUAUAACUGACAUGAGAUCGAGAAAACAAGGAGCAUUUGAUUAAAAUAACUGUUUUUUUUAAUUUAAAGUCUUAACGAACGGAUAAAGAUCUCAAAGAUCUUAUUCGCCUUUAGAGAGAAUAAUGAAAAUUGAAAACAAUUCGAAGAGAAAUUUCAAUGUUAAUCAACGAAAAGGGGAAAGAAAUCGGAGAGAUAAUGGAAAAUUAUUAGCAAGUCAUUUCUCUCUCUCUCUCUCUCCCGCUCACUCUUUCUUUUUCUUUUCUCUUAACAAUACGAAAUCGAGAAAAGAACUGCAAGUAUAUAUCUACGUGUUAUAUAAUCUGUCAGUAAACGUCUACAGAAUUUUUCUUAAUUUCAUAUCGAACUCUACUUUUCUCUCUCAUUCUUUCUCUUUUUUUUUAAACAAGAAAAUAAAAAGAUCUCUAUUAUUUUGAAUCGAAAUAGCCUGAUAGGAUAAAAGAAGGAGAAAAAAGAAAAGAAAUAAGAAUGGAGAACGUUAUCUUAAUUCGGAAAUGGUAAAGGAUAUGGACAGCGAUGUUAAAGCGUGCUUACUCUCUUAAAACCUGAUCCGUCGAUUUCGAAUUCCUUCUUUGUACUUUUCUUUCUCUUCCACUUCUUCAACGACUCGAGGGUAGGCUGCGAAAAAUAGGAAAACGCUCGGACAUUAUGCGGCCGAUCUCGUUCGAAUAAAUAGAGCGAACGUGCGCUUUCUACGAUGAGACGAAGGGAGAAAGGAAAAUCAAGUGGAAAUGGGGACCGAAGACAACACCGGUAAAAGGGCAUAAGGGGUGGCAAGCCGAUGGAUCCUUGGAUGAACGGAAAGAGAGAAAGGA